rnacentral:lncRNA from 1 species
ACAGGUACAUUUUAUGAUUGGCCAUUACAGCAAAGACUGCUUUCAUUAAAAGAACUUGCUUAUCCUUUUUCAUGAAA